rnacentral:rRNA from 1 species
AUUGAACGCUGGCGGCAUGCCUUACACAUGCAAGUCGAACGGCAGCACGGGUGCUUGCACCUGGUGGCGAGUGGCGAACGGGUGAGUAAUACAUCGGAACAUGUCCUGUAGUGGGGGAUAGCCCGGCGAAAGCCGGAUUAAUACCGCAUACGAUCUACGGAUGAAAGCGGGGGACCUUCGGGCCUCGCGCUAUAGGGUUGGCCGAUAGCUGAUUAGCUAGUUGGUGGGGUAAAGGCCUACCAAGGCGACGAUCAGUAGCUGGUCUGAGAGGACGACCAGCCACACUGGGACUGAGACACGGCCCAGACUCCUACGGGAGGCAGCAGUGGGGAAUUUUGAACAAUGGGCGAAAGCCUGAUCCAGCAAUGCCGCGUGUGUGAAGAAGGCCUUCGGGUUGUAAAGCACUUUUGUCCGGAAAGAAAUCCUUGGCUCUAAUACAGUCGGGGGAUGACGGUACCGGAAGAAUAAGCACCGGCUAACUACGUG